GUGAGGAAUAUUGCGCAAUGGAGGCAACUCUGACGCAGCCAUGCCGCGUGCAGGAAGAAGGCGCUACGCGUUGUAAACUGCUUUUAACCGGGAAGAAACCCCAGGACGUGUCCUGGGUUGACGGUACCGGAGGAAUAAGCACCGGCUAACUUCGUGCCAGCAGCCGCGGUAAUACGAAGGGUGCAAGCGUUAUCCGGAUCCAUUGGGUUUAAAGGGUGCGUAGGCGGAGCGUUAAGUCAGUGGUGAAAUCCUGCAGCUUAACUGUAGACUUGCCAUUGAUACUGGCGCUCUUGAGUGCGCUUGAAGUGGGCGGAAUGUGCCGUGUAGCGGUGAAAUGCUUAGAUAUGGCACAGAACACCAAUUGCGAAGGCAGCUCACUAAGGCGAUACUGACGCUGAGGCACGAAAGCGUGGGGAGCGAACAGGAUUAGAAACCCUUGUAGUCC
rnacentral:rRNA from 1 species